rnacentral:tRNA from 1 species
CGGAAUGUCGCGUAGUUUGGUAAUCGUAUCUAUUUUGGGUAUAGAAAAUCGCAGGUUCAAAUCCUGCCAUUCCGA